rnacentral:rRNA from 1 species
CGGACGGGUGAGUAACGCGUGGGUAACCUGCCUUGUACUGGGGGACAAUAGUUGGAAACGACUGCUAAUACCGCAUAAGCGCACAGCUUCGCAUGAAGCAGUGUGAAAAACUCCGGUGGUACAAGAUGGACCCGCGUCUGAUUAGCUGGUUGGUGAGGUAACGGCCCACCAAGGCGACGAUCAGUAGCCGGCCUGAGAGGGUGAACGGCCACAUUGGGACUGAGACACGGCCCAA